AUGAUUUGUACAGCUCCUGCACUGGUCCGUAUAGGUAAAAUUAUGGAUAAUUAUGGUUGUAGCUGGCUGUCAACAUCACUACGGUUACCGAACUGUUUAUAUUUGUGCAGCUCGGUUCUGAGACGACGGCAAAACCAGUUUCCAGGCAACCACACCGUCCGUCAGCUGCUGAAAGUCUCUCGAGUUAAACCUUCCUGCACGGUGGAUUUCAUCAGAAAGCCUUCAAAUAUAAGUCAGCCGUUUAAUUCAAACAACUUAGACGGUGUCAGCCUCAAUUUCAGAAAGGGGUGUCAGCGACCAGCGACCACGUUGGUGUUGGUUCAUCUGCCUGAGCCACAGUAACACGGUUUUCGCUCCUGCACAUUUUAUUGUGCCAGUGUGUGACUGGUGAGACCUGGAAAAUCUGCCCAAUAAAACCCCCCUCAGAUGAGAUAUUUCAGGCCUCGUUAAAGAUCUGCUGUCCGGUCAGAAGAUGAAUUUCAUUCAUACUUUCCUCUUCUUUUCCCCAACUUUUCUCUACUUGCAAUUAUGAUAAUUAUAAUUAUUUGCAAUCACAGAGGUUUAGUUUAAACCUAAAGAGAUUCUAUGGAGACGAAUAAAAAGCUUAAGGAUAUGAGAUGUUUGAAAAUAAAAUGUAAGGGCAAAGGGAAAGCAUUUUAAACUAGAAAAGGAAUUUCCUGCUGAAAAUGCGUUGGAAUGCAAAAAGCUGAAAGCUGAAAUGAACUUCAGAAAAUUGCUGAAAUUGCAGAAAUUUGAAGGGAAUUUCAAUACAUUUGCUGAAAUUACAGAUAUUAGAAAAGCUGAAAUGAAAACAGCUGAAAUGAAUUCAACUUGUCAGCUGUUUGGUCUUGUUAUUGCUUGUGCAAUGCUAGCUAGUGCCAUGUUAGCGCUAUGCUAGCUAACGCCAUGUUAGCUAGCAUAGCGCCAAGUGUUUGUCAGACUACUAUUUACAGCAAUUUCAGGAUGCUCUAUGCGGCGUGAGAUGAGCUGACCGCCCGGUGCUGGAGGAGUCAGAUUGUCCCGUUAACUAGACCUCACAUCUCCAGCAUCUUCGGAGCAAAUUGUUACGAAGGCUGAAUGUUGAUAAACCGGCCGCAGAAAUGUUGCUUAAACAACUAACUUCCA
ensembl:lncRNA